rnacentral:tRNA from 1 species
GCUUCAGCAGACCGCGGUCGUUGAGGCCAACCGCAUUGGCGGUGUGGUGGGUCUGCUUGGCGAUCAUCGUUUCGAGCGCGAUCUUCGGCCC